rnacentral:lncRNA from 1 species
GCAGCCUCAGAGAGUUGUUUUUCUGGAAAGCACCAGGGCUGAUGACUUUGAAACUUUUAUUUCAUCCACAGAAACACCAGAGGGGAAGAAUUAGAAAAAGAGAAAAAUCAGGUCCACAGACAGCAACCAAAUUAGAAAAGAGACUGCAGUGUGAGGAAGGAGAAAGACAGAUGUGGGUUCUCUUGAAGGCCAAUGAGAAGAUUAAUGGGAUGAGGGUCUUGGAUCUUUUCUGGAACACCAAAACGACCGUGGCAUGGCUUUGA